GACGAACGCUGGCGGCGUGCUUAACACAUGCAAGUCGAACGGACAGGCCCUGCUUUUGUGGGGUGCUCGAGUGGCGAACGGGUGAGUAACACGUGAGUAACCUGUCCUUGACUUUGGGAUAACUCCAGGAAACUGGGGCUAAUAUCGGAUAGGAGAUCUUGCUGCAUGGUGGGGGUUGGAAAGUUUCGGCGGUGGUGGAUGGUCUCGCGGCUUAUCAGCUUGUUGGUGGGGUAGUGGAUGACCAAGGCUUUGACGGGUAGCCGGCCUGAGAGGGUUACCGGCCACAAUGGGACUGAGAGACGGCGCAGAAGCCUACGGGAGGCAGCAGUGGGAAGUAUGGCACAGUAGGCGCAAGCCUGAUGCAGCAACGCCGCGUGCGGGAUGACGGCCUUCGGGUUAUAAACCGCUUUCUCCUGAGACGAAGCGUGAGUGACGGUAAUGGGUAAGAAAGCACCGGCUAACUACGUG
rnacentral:rRNA from 1 species